rnacentral:lncRNA from 1 species
GGAGGCGCAUGGAAAUUAGGCAGGGGCAGGAGAGCGAGAUGGCCCUGAUCUUCCUCUUCGGCUGCUGCGUCUUCCCCCUCUUCUUCUUCGCCCUCCACUGGGCACUGCACCGCACCCGGGCCCUGGGUAUGGACCAGCUGCGUGCCAUCUACGUCGCUGCCAAGCUGGUCUCCUCCAUCCAAGCCGUCAUGGCCUCCACAGCCGGAUACAUCAUUUUCAGCUCCUGCCAGCACGUUAUCGAUGACCAGUGAGUCAGCCCCCGGCCUGGCCCCCGCUCCCUCCCGGCCUGGCCUGCUCUCCCUGUUCCCCCC